rnacentral:rRNA from 1 species
UACGAAGGGGGCGAGCGUUGUUCGGAAUUACUGGGCGUAAAGGGCGCGUAGGCGGUGUGUCAAGUCAGGCGUGAAAGCCCCGGGCUCAACCUGGGAACGGCGCUUGAGACUGGCACGCUCGAGUUCGGGAGAGGAUGGUGGAAUUCCCAGUGUAGAGGUGAAAUGCGUAGAUAUCGAGAGGAACAUCAGUGGCGAAGGCGGCUGCCUGGCCCAAUACUGACACUCAGGUGCGACAGCGUGGGGAGCAAACAGG